rnacentral:rRNA from 1 species
UACGUAGGUGGCAAGCGUUGUCCGGAUUUAUUGGGCGUAAAGAGCGUGUAGGCGGCCUGGAAGGUCAGCUGUGAAAACUCGAGGCUCAACCUCGAGACGUCGGUUGAAACCACCUGGCUAGAGUCCGGAAGAGGAGUGUGGAAUUCCCGGUGUAGCGGUGAAAUGCGCAGAUAUCGGGAAGAACACCCGUGGCGAAGGCGGCACUCUGGGACGGUACUGACGCUGAGACGCGAAAGCGUGGGGAGCGAACAGG